UUCGUACCAUCACAAUCACAUUGCCAAUAUAUAUUUUUUGCAUUCCUCAUACUAUCAUUUCGAUAGGGAAAAAAUAUCACCAACAAUAUCUUUUCCUCACUACUACACUCGCGCUCCUGAUUUCUAACACCUCUCGCCUGUAAUUCGUAGUUAUAUAUACUACAAGAAAAUUUGCUCACGAUCGAACAACACCCCAUUUUCCAACGAAAAUGGGGAAGAAAUGAAACAAAAGCAUCAGCUAGCCGAGCUUAAUUAAUCCGUGCCUAUCGAUCGACGGUGCACCAGCACGACCCCCGGGCGACGGCGGCGAGCGGCGGCGGUGGCAACUCCGGUAGGGAUAUCGAUCGGAGACGACACCGGAGGUCUCCACGCUUGACGUUGACCUCCAGCUGCAGGCCCCGCACGGUGGUAGCCGGCGGCAUCACCACCGAGGCCGCAGCAAAGCCACCAGAGCUCCCCUCCGUAGGCGCCGCGCCCCCGCGGCUCGUAACCGUCGUCCGGCCACAGCACGUCCGCCUCCUGGAACUCCUCCGCCAUGUCGCCGUCGCCGCCAUGCCCGCCGGCGAAGGUGGAAGGGUAGGAGAGGAAGCCACCGGAGGACCCACCACCGAACGGCAGCAGGCUCGUCGACGAGGACGUCGAGCUCAUCGAUGAGGACGCCGCAGGGCCGUCGUCGUCGCUGCCGAACGACUCGCACGAGAACUCGACGGCGGCCGCGGCAGCGGAGUCGUACAGCUGAUCCUGGAGGCUCCUCUCACGGUCCCGCGACGGCGGCGGCGUGUCGGGCCACAGCACGUCGGCCUCCUGGAGCUCCUCCAUGGGCGCACCUCCGGCCAGGAAACUAUUUCCGAGAGCAGCCAGGCAAGCCAUUCUUGUAAUAUGGGUUGCGCGCGCCUUGCCGCAAGAGAGAAGCGCGUCGCAUCGCCGUGUGUGAUGACGUGACGUAGGGGGCACUCCUGGCCUUGAUUAAAUUUGGUUAACUGCGCAGCGCUCAGCAAAAUGACAG
rnacentral:rRNA from 1 species